AGAGCAAGGAGGUCCCCCCGAGCCCCCUCCAGGCUGAGCCCCCACAGGGCUCUCACGAUCCCUUGUGCUCCAGAAAGGAAGUUUCCCUGCUAAUCAUCUGUGUCAGAUCAAAAAAAAAGCCUGAUGCACUUUCUGGAUGAAGGGUAUUUUGAAGGCUCCCUCUUGGUCCUCAUGAAACAGGUCAAUGGUCACGGUGCAACACGUAGAACGCGCAUCCUGCAUCUUAGAGACAUCCAGAUCACAUCUGCUGGAAUAGUUCUUGUUUGUAUCAGUGGGUCAGCAAACAAAAGAGCUUAAAUGGUCCUUUAAAGAAGAAAUUGUCCUUCCUUAAAAUCUUCUGAGCCGAUUUAUUUUCUCAUGUAGAGAUAGGAGUUCCCAUCUGGUUUGUGCUGCUCAUACUCAUUGUCAUAGGUAGCUAAGGACUUUGUCCUGCAAAGAAUGAGCCAUAACACUUCCACUGGGCUCCAGAAUCUAACAAGUGAAGAAUAAUUGUGAAUGGACCAUGAAGUUGGUUCAGCAAAGGUUUUCCUAUAAUUAAAAUACAUCUGGCUCUGUCCUGUGUGGGAAAUCACAGGCCUCUGAAUGUUUUGACUAUUUCCUUAAGCACAACAGCAGCAGAAAAACUCCAUACACUUUAACCUGUCAAAUUCUGUUCCAUUUUAUCAUGUGGAUAAAUCAGCUGCAAUAAGGAACUUUAAUCUAGCAUCUUUGAUCUGAAGCUGAGGGAUUCAAAGCAAAGACAAUGGAAAUGGUCAUGGAAAGAAAGUAUGAGGGGCUCAGAACAGCAGUCUAAUCUUCAGCACACUAGUGCUAAUUUAAGUAAGUGUAAAACAGCUUGCUGUGUUUCCCCAUAAAACUUGUGACUGCCACGGCGUUGUUCUUCCUGAUGGCAGUUCUGCACCUUCAUCCUCCUGCUGCCAGCGGAGCGACAGAGCCCUGGGAACUGUGGCGGGGAGUGCUUUAGGCGCUGUGUAUCUCUGUCCUUCACCCUCUCGAAGGGGAGACUCGGCUCAGGGCAGUGACAGCUUCUUUUCAACAGUUCCUUCUCCUGGAAAGUGUUCUGCUCCCUGCCACCCUUUAGACCUGCUGGCUGUCCCAGGGAGCAGUGCUGGGGGCAGGUUGGCAGCUGGGAGGCCCGUGCAUGCAGGGGCUCGGGGUGAGGUGUGAUGGGCUGCUGUGCCUCGGCCCUGCCGUGCUGGGGUCAGCCCAGCGUGAGCCUGGAGAGACUGGCGCCUGCUUGGAUAGCUCUCUGCCUUCCCUGCCUGCCUCUGGGGCUUUUCAUCAAGUCCUCACUGUCCACCUCAUUUGUCGGACAAGUGGCAAUCGGGCUCUCGUUCUUGGGCAGCUGUGGAGCCUGCAAGGCAGGCGGCAGACGGUGAUAGAUGGAGAGGGCAGGAUGGAUGGAUGGAUGGAUGGAUGGAUGGAUGGCCAUAAUUGGGAGGGGGCCGGCUGUCUGGCGGUGUGAUGCUGGCCCGAGGGAAGGGGUGGGGGACCGGGUGGGUGUGCCCGGCUCUCCCUGCCGCUGCCGCCGCGGUCCGCCCCACUCACAAGGUGCCUGAGCCGGAGAGCGAGCAGCAGCGCCGCGUCCCCGCCGCCCCUCCGCAGCGCCCGUCCCGCCAUGCCUAACUUCGCCGGCACUUGGAAGAUGAAGAGCAGUGAGAAUUUCGACGAGCUGCUCAAGGCGCUGGGUGUCAAUGCCAUGCUCAGGAAAGUGGCGGUGGCAGCCGCCUCCAAACCUCAUGUGGAGAUCCGCCAGGACGGGGACCAGUUCUACAUCAAAACUUCCACCACUGUCCGCACCACUGAGAUCAACUUCAAAAUCGGGGAGCGCUUUGAGGAGGAGACGGUGGAUGGACGAAAGUGCAGGAGUUUGGCCACUUGGGAGAAUGAAAACAAGAUCUACUGCAAACAAACUCUUAUUGAGGGAGAUGGUCCCAAAACAUACUGGACUCGAGAAUUAGCUAAUGAUGAGCUGAUUUUGUUGCUCUGAUGCAACUUCACCGUCAAAUAGCCAGGACUGCUCAUUCUCUUUUCACUUGGAACUUCUACUGCUUUGGGUCAUGGAAAUCUUUAAAGUCUGCCUAUUGGAACAGGAACUAUCACUUCUUUUGUGUCUAGAAUUAAAACCAUAGACACUAAACUGCUUUAUCCUACCACCAAAUAAAAGGAUUUAAAUGUGAAGAAUAGAGGAAUAACACCCUUUGGAUUUGGAUCCUCCCCUGACCUUACCUUUGGUGCUGAUGAUGUUGUGUGCACAAGAAUUUAUGUAAGAGAAUAAAAGCAUCAAUUUACUUGUCAUCUGGGAUGAAGUGGAGAGCUGUGAAAAUCCCCAGUGUAACGAGUAUCUGUGUGUGCUGUUACUAACAGUGUUGUAUGUGACCGUGUGUGUUCUAUCCGAACCCAGAUCCUCUAGGUGUAUUUUGCUUUCAGUUUUCAUUUCAGACACUAUUCCUUUCCACUUUUAUGCCAUCAAUUUUCAUGUCUGCUUUGUAUUUUGUAGUUGUCACUUGCUAUGGUUUCCUCAGUUAUUAAACUUGUUGGGCAUAACUCACA